rnacentral:rRNA from 1 species
UACGGGGGGGGCAAGCGUUGUUCGGAAUUACUGGGCGUAAAGGGCUCGUAGGUGGCCAACUAAGUCAGACGUGAAAUCCCCAGGCUCAACCGGGGAACUGCGUCUGAUACUGGAUGGCUUGAGGUUGGGAGAGGGAUGCGGAAUUCCAGGUGUAGCGGUGAAAUGCGUAGAUAUCUGGAGGAACACCGGUGGCGAAGGCGGCAUCCUGGACCAAUUCUGACACUGAGGAGCGAAAGCCAGGGGAGCAAACGGG